rnacentral:tRNA from 1 species
AGGAUAAUAGUUAAGUUAACAUUUAAAUUGCAAUUAAAAAAUAUUGAUAUCUCAAUUUAUCUUA